rnacentral:rRNA from 1 species
AUUGAACGCUGGCGGCAUGCCUUACACAUGCAAGUCGAACGGCAGCAUGGAGGGCUUGCUCUCUGAUGGCGAGUGGCGAACGGGUGAGUAAUGCAUCGGAACGUACCGUGUAGUGGGGGAUAACGUAGCGAAAGUUACGCUAAUACCGCAUACGACCUGAGGGUGAAAGCAGGGGAUCGCAAGACCUUGCGUUAUACGAGCGGCCGAUGUCAGAUUAGCUAGUUGGUGAGGUAAAGGCUCACCAAGGCGACGAUCUGUAGCGGGUCUGAGAGGAUGAUCCGCCACACUGGGACUGAGGCACGGCCCAGACUCCUACGGGAGGCAGCAGUGGGGAAUUUUGGACAAUGGGGGCAACCCUGAUCCAGCCAUGCCGCGUGAGUGAAGAAGGCCUUCGGGUUGUAAAGCUCUUUCGGCCGGGAAGAAAUCGCACAGGCUAAUACUCUGUGUGGAUGACGGUACCGGCAUAAGAAGCACCGGCUAACUACGUGCCAGCAGCCGCUGUAA